rfam:Triticum aestivum genome assembly, contig: Triticum_aestivum_CS42_TGACv1_scaffold_064615_1DL
AUAGUACUCCCUCCGUCCCAAAAUUCUUGUCUUAGAUUUUUCUGGAUGUAUAAAGUCAUGUUUUAGUAUUAGAUACAUCUGUAUCUACACUAAUGUACGACAAGAAUUUUGGGACAGAGGAAGUAUAAA